ensembl:lncRNA
AGGGGGGGUUGGUUGUCUAUGGGGCGGGCCAGGAGACGUGGCUGUAUGUGGGGGCGGGGGGCAGAGUGGCUGUGUGGUGGGCGGGCGCCGCAUGGCUGCUGUGGGCUGCAUCGUGAAGCUGGGGGGUAGCGCGCUGACGGAAAAGAACCAGCUGGAGACGCUGCGGGCCGAGUCCCUGCCGCGGGCGGCGGGCAUCGUGCGGGGGCUGUACGGAGCUGGCGCCGGGAGCUGCAUUGUGGUGCACGGAGCAGGCUCCUUUGGGCAUUUCCAAGCGAAGGCAAAUGGCGUGGCCUCAGGAUCCCCUGUGGGCUCGGCCGGGAGCGAGGCCCUGCGACGAGGUCUGUGUCUGACCAGGCUCUCCGUUACGAAGCUGAACCACCUGGUGACGGAGCAGCUGGUGAAGUGCGGCGUCCCAGCGGUGGGCAUUUCGCCCUUUGGAGCCUGGAAGACAGCAGGCAAGAAAGUCAGCCAGGCUGGCAUUUCUGCCAUAAGGGACGCCUUGGAUGCUGGCUACAUCCCAGUCGUGCAUGGGGACUGUGCUCUGGACUCUGAACAGCACUGCUGUAUCUUGUCUGGGGAUGCUAUUAUCGAGGUUCUGUCCAGGGAAUUCUCCCCGCAGCGAGUGGUUUUCUUGACCAAUGUCAGUGGAAUCUAUGACCGUCCACCUGAUACCCCAGGUGCCAGGCUGGUGGAUUCCAUUUCCGUCAGCCCUGAUGGAAGCAUGGACCCCUCUGUGCUCACAUCUGCCCUGCCACACGAUACCACCGGGGGAAUCUCCCUGAAGUUACGGGCUGCGGUCAACAUAGUCAUCCAGAGUCACGGAGCCAUUCCAGUGCUGAUCUGCAAACUGGACAGCAAAGCUGCCGAAAGAGCAUGCUUAACUGGGGAGCUGGGAGUGGGCGAGGGCACGAGACUCUCCCUUGCAACAGCCUGAAGAAGCUGUCUCUGUAGUAGCCUGUCAGACAGGGGGAUUUGCCAUCAACUUGUUCCAGUUGGGCCCCAGUAUCCACUCCGUGAUUUAUCCAUGUCACCGGUGACUCCAGAUAAACCAUCCAGUGGCAGAGGACUUCUUCAUCAUUCACUGGCAAUAGACAGCUCCUAGUCUGCAUUUUAAUGCAUUUCUUCUCCAGCCCAGCUCUGACCUGAAUGGUGGAUAAUCCUCUGCUAAUGUUUCUUACAUAUGUCUUCACUUAAAGAGGCACGUAAAGGCAUGUAGCAAACAGCCAGGCAGCUAGCUGGGAAAUGGGCUCAGGCUUUUCAGCUGAGGAUUAAUAAAUUAAUAUUAGCGCAGCA